GACGAACGCUGGCGGCGUGCUUAACACAUGCAAGUCGAACGGAAAGGCCCUGCUUUUGUGGGGUGCUCGAGUGGCGAACGGGUGAGUAACACGUGAGUAACCUGCCCUUGACUUUGGUAUAACUUCAGGAAACUGGGGCUAAUACCGGAUAUGAGCUCCUGCUGCAUGGUGUUGGUUGGAAAGUUUCGGCGGUUGGGGAUGGACUCGCGGCUUAUCAGCUUGUUGGUGGGGUAGUGGCUUACCAAGGCUUUGACGGGUAGCCGGCAUGAGAGGGUGAACGGGGAGAUGGGGACUGAGAUAGGGACCAGAAUGCAACGGGAGGCAGCAGUGGGGAAUAGUGCACAAUGGGAGGAAGCCUGAGGCAGCAACGCCGGGUGAGGGAUGACGGCCUUCGGGUUGUAAACAGAUUUCGACUGAGACGAAGCGUGAGUGACGGUAAUGGGUAAAGAAGCAACGGCUAACUACGUG
rnacentral:rRNA from 1 species